CCGAGAAUAUUCGACAAUGGGCGAAAGCCUGAUCGAGCGACACCGCGUGACUGAUGAAGUCCUUCGGGACGUAAAGGUCUUUUAGAGCCGAGAAAUUCUUCGGAAUGAUAGUAGGCUCUGAAUAAGGGGCUCCAAACUCUGUGCCAGCAGGAGCGGUAAUACAGAGGCCCCAAGCGUUAUCCGGAAUCACUGGGCGUAAAGGGUGUGUAGGUGGUUUUGUUAGUCGUUUGUUAAAGCUCUCGGCCUAACCGGGAAAAUGCAAACGAAACGGCAAGACUUGAGGGUGCGAGGGGUCUGUGGAACUCAUGGAGUAGGGGUGAAAUCCGUUGAUAUCAUGGGGAACACCAAAAGCGAAGGCAGCAGACUGGCGCAUUCCUGACACUGAAACACGAAAGCGUAGGUAGCGAAUGGGAUUAGAUACCCCCGUAGUCC
rnacentral:rRNA from 1 species